rnacentral:lncRNA from 1 species
CCGCAAUGCCUUGGAGAUAUGACUGAAGGACAAGGUGACAGUAAAGUGAGGAAGCUGGGAGACACUAAAUAUUUUUGUUUCCUUUUUUUGUUUGUGUUUGAUUGGCUGAGGGCAAGGAGCUGGGGAUUUAUGGAAUACUGAUGGGGCAAAAGUAGAGAUAGUUCAGAAAGUAUAAUUAAUCCAAACUACAGUAGGAGAUGAAAUCCAUAGUUCCUGUGAGGGAAUAAUAUUACACAGCAUUGGCAUUUGCUGACUUGAGGCAGAAGGAAGAGGGAAAAACAGAUACUAAAAGCCGCUACUUUGCAUUUAGCGAUGACUUCAUGGACUCUACAAUAUGACAAGAAUCUGCUGGAGGUCAACUUUCGUUCCAGUUGUGUACUUCAUAAUCCGCAUGGGAAACAUUCGAAAUGUGAACUCAAUAGUUCACCAAAAACAAUACAUACAAAAAGAAGAAUUAAGCUUAGAAAAUGCAGAUGUGGGACAUCUGGCUGGCUCAGUUGGAAGAACAUGGGACUCUUGAUCUCAGGGACUUGUGAAGGGUUGUGAAAGGUCAUGAAUUUGAACCCCACACUGGGUGUAGAGAUAACGAAAAAAUAAGUAAAUAAAUUUUAAAAAUAC